rnacentral:rRNA from 1 species
GAUGAACGCUGGCGGCGUGCUUAACACAUGCAAGUCGAACGGGGAUUAUUUUGACAGAGACUUCGGUUGAAGUCGUUAUAAUCCUAGUGGCGGACGGGUGAGUAACGCGUGGGUAACCUGCCUCACACUGGGGGAUAACAGUCAGAAAUGACUGCUAAUACCGCAUAAGCGCACGGGAUUGCAUGAUCCAGUGUGAAAAACUCCGGUGGUGUGAGAUGGACCCGCGUUGGAUUAGCCAGUUGGCAGGGUAACGGCCUACCAAAGCGACGAUCCAUAGCCGGCCUGAGAGGGUGGACGGCCACAUUGGGACUGAGACACGGCCCAGACUCCUACGGGAGGCAGCAGUGGGGAAUAUUGCACAAUGGGGGAAACCCUGAUGCAGCGACGCCGCGUGAAGGAAGAAGUAUCUCGGUAUGUAAACUUCUAUCAGCAGGGAAGAAAAUGACGGUACCUGACUAAGAAGCCCCGGCUGACUACGUGCCAGCAGCCGCGGUAAUACGUAGGGGGCAAGCGUUAUCCGGAUUUACUGGGUGUAAAGGGAGCGUAGACGGAGCAGCAAGUCUGAUGUGAAAGGCAGGGGCUCAACCCCUGGACUGCAUUGGAAACUGUUGAUCUUGAGUACCGGAGAGGUAAGCGGAAUUCCUAGUGUAGCGGUGAAAUGCGUAGAUAUUAGGAGGAACACCAGUGGCGAAGGCGGCUUACUGGACGGUAACUGACGUUGAGGCUCGAAAGCGUGGGGAGCAAACAAGAUUAGAUACCCUGGUAGUCCACGCCGUAAACGA